AUGUGCAAUUUGCUUAUUAAUGGAUAUUCUAAAAGUUCAAUUUCAGAAAUGAAGUAUCUUACGUUUUGCCAUUGUUCAUCUUGCCAGGUAAGACUGAGGACCUGAACACAAAAUCUAGGCUGAUACUCCAGUGCAGUACUGAAGGAGUGC